GCAGACACAUUCCAGCCAAUCAGCAGCAGACCCUCCCUCCCAGACCCUCCCACCUCCCUCCCAGACCCUCCCACCUCCCUCCCAGCUCACUAAGAAUGCAGCUUCACAAUGAAUGUAAAAUGGAUGCUGUCCAGGAGGUGGGAGGGUCUGGGAGGGAGGGUCUGCUGCUGAUUGGCUGGAAUGUGUCUG